rnacentral:SRP_RNA from 1 species
GGACAGGCCCUGCGCGGCGGGAUGCCUCGAACCUCGUCAGGACCGAAAGGUAGCAGCGAUAAGGGGCUAACCGGGUGCCGCAGAUCAGCCUGUUCGGA